ensembl:lncRNA
GACUUAAGGAGCAAGGUGCAGCUGCUGAGAACAGUGGGCAGGGAAAUGAACCCAGCCAAGGCAUGGAGGAUUCCAGGAGAAAGUGACUGAGAAGGUUUCCCUCUUUGGUUCUCCUCUCCGCUGAGCUGGUCAGCCUCUCUAGGGUACAAUAGAGGCAGUGUUCACAGACAGCUGGAAACCUGGGACUUCUCUCAAGGAAAUUGCCAUCUAACACGGACCAAGGAUGCCUGUUAUCCAGGAAAGGAAAGACCACGGUGAGUCCUGGACUGUGCUUGAGCUGGGCUGUUCCUGAGAUGGAGAGGCUUGCACUGAAGAGGCCUGAAUGGAGCAGAGACACCUACCUUGCCUGAGCCUUGGGUGUGUUCAGCUUCCAGAAGGGACAAAGCUCGGCCUGGCGCGUUCCUAACGGGAAUUGGCUCUAGAAGUUCCGGACUUUGUGCUUCUCACUGCUGUGCAGUAUUCCACUGUCACCCCCAAAGCCUCAUGCACUCUGAGGUGAGGCUUGUGGAAGGUGGUUGGAUUGAGAGGACACUACAGCUGACUUAGUGUUAGGAGAUGGGCCCUGAUCAGAAGAGGAGUCAUUGUGAGUAUGACCUGGAAGUGUGUACCCCCCACCCCCCGCUCCUCCCUUCUCUCUGCUUCCUGGCCACUAUGAGGUGAACAGCUUGUCCUCUACCAUGUCUCUCCGUCACGCUGUCCUGCCUUGGAG